AUACGGAGGGUGCAAGCGUUAAUCGGAAUUACUGGGCGUAAAGCGCGCGUAGGCGGCUUGAUAAGUCGGAUGUGUAAUCCCCGGGCUUAACCUGGGAAUUGCAUUCGAUACUGUCAGGCUAGAGUGCGGUAGAGGGAAGUGGAAUUUCCGGUGUAGCGGUGAAAUGCGUAGAUAUCGGAAAGAACAUCAGUGGCGAAGGCGGCUUCCUGGAUCAACACUGACGCUGAGGUGCGAAAGCGUGGGGAGCAAACAGGAUUAGAUACCCUAGUAGUCC
rnacentral:rRNA from 1 species